UACGAAGGGUGCUAGCGUUGUUCGGAAUUACUGGGCGUAAAGGGCAUGUAGGCGGCUAAUCAAGACAGUGGUGAAAUCCCGGGGCUUAACCUCGGAACUGCCAUUGUGACUGGUUAGCUUGAGUACGAGAGAGGAUGGCGGAAUACCCAGUGUAGAGGUGAAAUUCGUAGAUAUUGGGUAGAACACCGGUGGCGAAGGCGGCCAUCUGGCUCGGAACUGACGCUGAGAUGCGAAAGCGUGGGGAGCAAACAGGAUUAGAUACC
rnacentral:rRNA from 1 species